UACGUAGGGUGCGAGCGUUGUCCGGAAUUAUUGGGCGUAAAGAGCUCGUAGGCGGUCUGUCGCGUCGGAUGUGAAACCCCGGGGCUUAACCCUGGGCCUGCAUUCGAUACGGGCAGACUAGAGUUCGGUAGGGGAGACUGGAAUUCCUGGUGUAGCGGUGAAAUGCGCAGAUAUCAGGAGGAACACCGGUGGCGAAGGCGGGUCUCUGGGCCGAUACUGACGCUGAGGAGCGAAAGCGUGGGGAGCGAACAGG
rnacentral:rRNA from 1 species